rnacentral:lncRNA from 1 species
AUACAUUUAGAAAAUCAUCUGGAAUAUGCUCAAUAUUUGUAAGUGUAUGUGGUAAUGCAUGAGUUUCAAUGGUCUGAUCUUCUGUAUCAGACUCACUAUCAGACUGGCUUUCAAUUUUGGAUAAAAGAUGUUGUAGUAUGGCAGAGUCUUUUUGUUGGGCUUGUUUAAGGGAUUGUAAUUCGGAUUUGAGGGUUUUUAUCUCAGAAUGUAAUUCUGGAAUGGUAA